GGGGCUCUGGGUAGCUCUACACCCUUUGUGACAUACCUACAACUGUUGCUUCGGCGGGUAGGGUCUCCGUGACCCUCCCGGCCUCCCGCCCCCGGGCGGGUCGGCGCCCGCCGGAGGAUAACCAAACUCUGAUUUAACGACGUUUCUUCUGAGUGGUACAAGCAAAUAAUCAAAACUUUUAACAACGGAUCUCUUGGUUCUGGCAUCGAUGAAGAACGCAGCGAAAUGCGAUAAGUAAUGUGAAUUGCAGAAUUCAGUGAAUCAUCGAAUCUUUGAACGCACAUUGCGCCCGCCAGCAUUCUGGCGGGCAUGCCUGUUCGAGCGUCAUUUCAACCCUCAAGCUCUGCUUGGUGUUGGGGCCCUACAGCUGAUGUAGGCCCUCAAAGGUAGUGGCGGACCCUCCCGGAGCCUCCUUUGCGUAGUAACUUUACGUCUCGCACUGGGAUCCGGAGGGACUCUUGCCGUAAAACCCCCAAUUUUCCACAGGUUGACCUCGGAUCAGGUAGGAAUACCCGCUGAACUUAAGCAUAUCAAUAAGCGGAGGAA
rnacentral:rRNA from 1 species